rnacentral:rRNA from 1 species
GACGAACGCUGGCGGCGUGCUUAACACAUGCAAGUCGAACGAUGACGACCGAGCUUGCUCGGUCUGAUUAGUGGCGAACGGGUGAGUAACACGUGAGCAACCUGCCCUUCACUCUGGGAUAACCUCGGGAAAUCGGGGCUAAUACCGGAUAUGAGCUCCUGUCGCAUGGCGGGUGUUGGAAAGUUUUUCGGUGAAGGAUGGGCUCGCGGCCUAUCAGUUUGUUGGUGAGGUAGUGGCUCACCAAGGCGAUGACGGGUAGCCGGCCUGAGGGGGCGACCGGCCACACUGGGACUGAGACACGGCCCAGACUCCUACGGGAGGCAGCAGUGGGGAAUAUUGCACAAUGGGCGAAAGCCUGAUGCAGCGACGCCGCGUGAGGGAUGACGGCCUUCGGGUUGUAAACCUCUUUCAGCAGGGAAGAAGCGAAAGUGACGGUACCUGCAGAAGAAGCGCCGGCUAACUACGUG